rnacentral:rRNA from 1 species
UGACUGACCGAUAGUGAACCAGUACCGUGAGGGAAAGGCGAAAAGAACCCCGGCGAGGGGAGUGAAAAAGAACCUGAAACCGUGUACGUACAAGCAGUGGGAGCACAGGUUUACCUGUGUGACUGCGUACCUUUUGUAUAAUGGGUCAGCGACUUAUAUUCUGUAGCAAGGUUAACCGAAUAGGGGAGCCGGAGGGAAACCGAGUCUUAAUUGGGCGUUAAG